AUAUUGGACAAUGGGGGGAACCCUGAUCCAGCCAUGCCGCGUGUGUGAAGAAGGCCUUCGGGUUGUAAAGUACUUUCAGCGAGGAGGAAGGCAUUAAGGUUAAUAACCUUGGUGAUUGACGUUACUCGCAGAAGAAGCACCGGCUAACUCCGUGCCAGCAGCCGCGGUAAUACGGAGGGUGCAAGCGUUAAUCGGAAUUACUGGGCGUAAAGCGCACGCAGGCGGUCUGUCAAGUCGGAUGUGAAAUCCCCGGGCUCAACCUGGGAACUGCAUUCGAAACUGGCAGGCUUGAGUCCCGUAGAGGGGGGUAGAAUUCCAGGUGUAGCGGUGAAAUGCGUAGAGAUCUGGAGGAAUACCGGUGGCGAAGGCGGCCCCCUGGACGAAGACUGACGCUCAGGUGCGAAAGCGUGGGGAGCAAAC
rnacentral:rRNA from 1 species